rnacentral:rRNA from 1 species
CAAUAGCGCGUAUUAAAGUUGUUGCAGUUAAAAAGCUCGUAGUUGGAUUUCUGCUGAGGACGUCAGGUCCGCCCUCUGGGUGUGUCCAUGGCACGGCUUGGGCAUUUCUUGAAAAAUGUAUCUGGCCUUGACUGUGUGGUGCGGUAUCCAGGACUUUUACUUUCAGGAAAUUAGAUUGUGUCAAGCAGGCCUACGCCUCGAAUAUGUUAGCAUUGAGUAUAUAAUAAGAUAGGACCUUGGUUCUAUUCUGUUGGUUUCUAGAGCUGAUUCAAUGAUUAAUAGGCAUAGUUGGGGCAUUCGUAUUUAACUGUCAGAGGUGAAAUUCUCAGAUUUGUUAAAGACGGACUACUGCGAAGGCAUUUGCCAAGGAUGUUUUCACUGA